UACGGGGGGGGCAAGCGUUGUUCGGAAUUACUGGGCGUAAAGCGCGCGAAGGCGGUCCUUCAAGUCAGAGGGGAAAGCCCAGAGCUCAACUCUGGAACGGCCUUUGAGACUAGAGGACUUGGGUACGGGAGAGGUGAGUGGAAUUCCGAGUGUAGAGGUGAAAUUCGUAGAUAUUCGGAAGAACACCAGUGGCGAAGGCGGCUCACUGGCCCGUUACCGACGCUCAGGCGCGACAGCGUGGGGAGCAAACAGG
rnacentral:rRNA from 1 species